GUAGCCUGUCUUCUUGGGAGAUGUAGUUUCCCUCAGAGGGCAGGCGCUGGGGUGUCUGCAGCGUCGGGGCCCCCUCAGAGCACCCCGCUCUCCCCAACGGCCCCGGAGUCCCCAGGCCGGGGUGUCCCGUCUCCCUCCCCACGGGGCGAGGCAGGCGCGUGGGUGAGGCUUGGCACAGUUCGAUUUGUAAUAUGGUUUGGGAAAUAAUGUUCACAGCAAUCACCUGUGUGCUCAGGGCUUGCAGUUAAGAAGAAGAAGCCGUGGAAGUGCUGGGGUUGACAGCUAAUGGCAGAUGCUGAAUGUUUUGAGUUUUUCCUACAAGCAGGUGAAAGGAAACUUUGUGCACUACUCUGCUACUUUCCUUGAGGCUUUCAGGCCAGAUUUGCACAGGCUUCUCAAUUAAUGAUGGAAUAAAUUGACCAACAGGACAAACAAUUGACAGCUGGGCAAAUGUGCCUAGGACGGCCACACCGAGAUGCCAUAUCUCAUUUACAGCAUGUUCCUGCUGGCUCCGAGGCUUGUUAAAGGAAAGAGACUGUAAAAAAGAAAAAACACAUUACAUGUGGACUGCAAACAUAAAAGUGACUGAAGUAGGAAGAGAAAGAGAUAGAUUGGCAGCCUGGAGACAUAAUAAGCUAUUAAACCGUUUAAGGGAGGCCUACCAUGGCUUGCUGAGUUUGUUGUUCAAUUACUAUUACUGAUGAAGAAUGUCAAUAAUUAUGAUUUUCAGCCUGGCUUGACGUUUACAUUUGUAAAAGUUUGAAAGUCCGACUGUACUAAAAAUCAAUGGAACAACGGUUGUAUCUUCUCACAAAGAGGGUGGAUUAUGCCUCCUCCACAUACUAAGAACUUUCAAACUCCAGGCUCAUUAAUGGACUGUGUCAUACGUCAUCAUCACUGCUUCAUAUGUCAUCAUCACUAUCACCACCAUUUGCAUUCUUUAAAGGGGACUUUAUAUAUCCUUUGUAUUUUAGGAUGGCACCAGAGUCCAGAUCUCUAAAAUAGCAAGUGCUGAAUGGAUGUCAGCAGAACACACAUUAUAGACCGGGGUCGGCAACCUGCGGCACGCAUGCCAAAGGCGGCACUCGGGCUGAUUUUUAGUGGCACAUUGCUGCCAGCCGGGGUCCCGGCUGCCGGCCCUGCUCAGCCCGUUGCCGGCCUUGAUUACGGAACUCCAGCCACUCAGCCCGCUGGUCUGGGGUUCCGGCCGCCAGCCCCUUGCCAGCUGGGGUCCCGGCCGCUGGACCCACUCAGCCCACUGCUGGCCUGGAUGGACAGAACCCGGCCAGCAGCAGGCUGAACAGGGCUGGCGGCCAGGACCCUGGCUCAGCCCGCUGCCGAUCUGGGAUUCUGUCUGCCGCCCGCGCUGCCGGUCUGGCACGCGAAACCUUUUACUGGCCCGCAAAACCUUAAAUUAAUGAAGACUUGGCACACCACUUCUCAAAGGUUGUCGACCCCUGUUAUAGACUAUCCUUUCUCAGCCUCUCCAUUUCCAGUUCUGACGGUGGCAUGGUGCUUUCCAAGAGUGAUUGCCCUUGGCCUUUUUGACAUUCUUGUAUAAUUUACAUUUCACAGCAAUGUAGCCAUGCCACAAAACCAUAUACUUUACCUUGUCCUACCCCGAAGCGAUUUCACUGAGAAGAAUGGUAUCAAUUGUAUAACAGGCUGCAGUGUGUGUCUCCACCAAUGGAAAUACCAGCACCAUACGGAGUAACACUCAUUGUAAAUCUUGAAGAGAUGCGGUGAAAUACGCACCCCUGACAGGGUCCUCUUUUGGUGCUGUGCCUUCCACUUUGUUGGCUCUCAGGAAGGCUGCCCAGUAAACUGAUGAAAACCCAAGUGUAGUUGAGUGGCCCAGAGAUUUAUGCAAGACUAAAAGCUCUCUGAUGUAGUCAGUUAAGCACAUUCACUAUUGAAACUGGUGGCAAUGUAUGAAUAAUAUCUUUGCAAUAGAUCUUCAAGUCAAGUUGUAGGUACAUCUUAGCUUUCACCCAUAAAGCAUGUUUAAGUGGUGCACAGGACUCUCUGCCGGGCCACUGUACUGGGAUACAUUUCACCCUGAUUGUUCAGAGACCUUGGAGGAAGACAAAGGACAAUUCGAAAGUCUGAUGUCUUUAAAACUCUCCUUUGCCAUGAUGCCUACAAAAAAGAACAUUAAUAAGGUUAAAAGAACAUUAUUAAGGUUGCAAAGUUAAAUAUUUUG